rnacentral:rRNA from 1 species
UAUGACUGAACGCCUCUAAGUCAGAAUCCCGCCUAGACGUAACGAUACCAUAGCGCCGCGGAACUUCGGUUGGUCUCGGAUAGCCGGCUUCGGUCGGUGAGGAGAGCCGUUCGUGACUGGGCUGGGGCGCGGCCGGAUGAUGGUCGCCCCUCUCCUAUCUCGCACCGCAUGUUUGUGGAGAACCUGGUGCUAAAUCACUUGCAGACGACCUGAUUCUGGGUCAGGGUUUCGUGCGUAGCAGAGCAGCUCCCUCGCUGCGAUCU